rnacentral:rRNA from 1 species
ACGAACGCUGGCGGCGUGCUUAACACAUGCAAGUCGAACGCUGAAGCUUGGGUGCUUGCAUCUGGGUGGAUGAGUGGCGAACGGGUGAGUAAUACGUGAGUAACCUGCCCUUGACUCUGGGAUAAGCCUGGGAAACUGGGUCUAAUACUGGAUACUACAUUCUCUCGCAUGGGGGUGUGUGGAAAGGGUUUUACUGGUUUUGGAUGGGCUCACGGCCUAUCAGCUUGUUGGUGGGGUAAUGGCCUACCAAGGCGACGACGGGUAGCCGGCCUGAGAGGGUGACCGGCCACACUGGGACUGAGACACGGCCCAGACUCCUACGGGAGGCAGCAGUGGGGAAUAUUGCACAAUGGGCGAAAGCCUGAUGCAGCGACGCCGCGUGAGGGAUGACGGCCUUCGGGUUGUAAACCUCUUUCAGCACGGAAGAAGCGAAAGUGACGGUACGUGCAGAAGAAGCGCCGGCUAACUACGUGC